UGGGGAAUUUUGGACAAUGGGCGCAAGCCUGAUCCAGCCAUGCCGCGUGAGUGAAGAAGGCCUUCGGGUUGUAAAGCUCUUUCAGCCGGAAAGAAAUCGUGCAGAUUAAUACUCUGUAUGGAUGACGUACCGAAGAAGAAG
rnacentral:rRNA from 1 species